ACUGCCCGUUCCGGUUUCCCUCAUGGAUACCAAUGACGCGACAACAACAAAAAUCUGAUUGGUGUGAGAAAACAGUCACGUGGUACACUAGUUCCACAACGUCACUGCUGGUGGACCCAGCUGAGCUGUUUGAGGCUGCAGCUAUUCGUUUUCGAUCUGUGCCUGCACUGUCCGACGUUUCUUUCUUGCAUUCCACCGAUUGCUGUCAGUUUGUUGGAUUUUGCGGUUACAACAUGUCUUCGGAGAUACAACCCUACAUUUACGACCCUGAAUCGGACGAGGACGAAGAUUGUGUCGAGCAACAACCACUCGUCAUUUGUACAUGACCGUAUCCCAAUGGUGCACCUGGAACUGAGAAGAAAUGCCAAACAGAAGAGGAACAUGUCUGCUGACAGGAGAUUUCCCAGGUUAUCUUGUCAAGGCGUUGCAAGCAUCUGGCAUACAGAUGUUUCGAAUGUUCGUGCUGGGGCUACUUAGGAAGGAAAGUUCAGUGGUCAUCACAUCCAUCCUGUGUUGUCC